ensembl:lncRNA
GUGGUAACUUCUCUAUACCUUUUUGAAUGCUUAAUGGUCUUUGUUCUCCUGGUGUAUUUUUAUUUUUUAUUUUUUAUUUUUUACUAAGACUUGUAGUUUGGAUGAUUGCUCUUGUUUCCUGUUCAUCUAUUGCCUGACUACUGUCUGCUCUGUAUUGGAUAAUGUUCUUUGGAUUUUGGACAAUUUUUGGCUUGCUUUAUUCUCAAUAAAGCGAGCAUAUCUGCAAUUGCAUCUGUCUUCUGAUCCUUCUCUGACAGAAUACUUCAUCAACCGCAUGGAUGCAGCAGGAGAAUUUAACUGGCAGCAAGCGAUAACUGCUCAACAGCAAGUGAUGGCGUCAGACGCAACAACCUGUGACAAUUUCCGCAAUGCCUCUACCGGAAAAAAUUCUCAGGCAUUGAAAUGGGCCUCUGCAGUUUGGGAUCAAGGAGGAUCACUUGUGACAUCGUAUCAGCAUUUCACAGAAUUGUUUCAAGGACAGCGACGUGUUUCUGAAUAUGCACUGGAGUUUAGAACCAUUGCAACCUAUACUGGAUAAUGUCCUUUGGAUUUUGGACUAUUUUUGGCUUGCUUUAUUCUCAAAGAGAGCAUACCUGCAAUUGCAUCUGUCUUCUGAUCCUUCUCUGACACCAUCACAUAUACCAUGAACUCUCGGUUGAUUAACCCAGACCUUGCUUACUUGAAGUCUGCCAAGGUUAUCUCAUGGCCAAUUCAUACAUAUUUGAUGAGGUGAC